UACGUAGGGGGCAAGCGUUGUCCGGAAUCAUUGGGCGUAAAGAGCGUGUAGGCGGCCCGAUAAGUCCGCUGUGAAAGUCCAGGGCUCAACCCUGGAAUGCCGGUGGAUACUGUCGGGCUCGAAUCCGGAAGAGGUGAGUGGAAUUCCUGGUGUAGCGGUGAAAUGCGUAGAUAUCAGGAGGAACACCUGCGGUGUAGACGGCUUACUGGACGGUAACUGACGCUGAGGCACGAAAGCGUGGGUAGCAAACAGG
rnacentral:rRNA from 1 species